AACGAACGCUGGCGGCAGGCUUAACACAUGCAAGUCGAGCGCCCCGCAAGGGGAGCGGCAGACGGGUGAGUAACGCGUGGGAAUCUACCCAUCACUACGGAACAACUCUGGGAAACUGGAGCUAAUACCGUAUACGUCCUUCGGGAGAAAGAUUUAUCGGUGAUGGAUGAGCCCGCGUUGGAUUAGCUAGUUGGUGGGGUAAUGGCCUACCAAGGCGACGAUCCAUAGCUGGUCUGAGAGGAUGAUCAGCCACACUGGGACUGAGACACGGCCCAGACUCCUACGGGAGGCAGCAGUGGGGAGUAUUGGACAAUGGGCGAAAGCCUGAUCCAGCCAUGCCGCGUGAGUGAUGACGGCCCUAGGGUUGUAAAGCUCUUUCGCAGGUGAAGAUAAUGACGGUAACCUGAGAAGAAGCCCCGGCUAACUUCGUGCCAGCAGCCGCCGUAAUAC
rnacentral:rRNA from 1 species